GAUCGAUAGCUCAGUUGGUAGAGCAGUGGUCUUGUAAUCCAGCGACAUGGGUUCGAAACCAAGUUGAUGCG
rnacentral:tRNA from 1 species